rnacentral:rRNA from 1 species
UACGUAGGGUGCUAGCGUUGUCCGGAAUCAUUGGGCGUAAAGAGCGUGUAGGCGGCCAGGUAGGUCGGUUGUGAAAACUGGAGGCUCAACCUUCAGACGUCGACCGAAACCAUCUGGCUAGAGUCCGGGAGAGGAGAGUGGAAUUCCUGGUGUAGCGGUGAAAUGCGCAGAUAUCAGGAAGAACACCGGUGGCGAAAGCGGCUCGCUGGAACGGUACUGACGCUGAGACGCGAAAGCGUGGGGAGCGAACAGG